CAGCUUGGCCCUGCUUCGUGACGUUCACCGAGGAACUCGAGCUGGAGGUGCUGGCAAAACCACAGCGCAAAGGCAUCCUCAUUUUACAGGAUCCGUGGGGGUCGUUCUACAACGUGCAGGACAGGCUGCACUAUAACGACUGUGACGCCGACACCAGCGGGUAGUCGACAUUCUUGGAGAGGACAUUUUUGUGGCCGCUUGACAACGUGCGGGAAAGGUUUGGACCGCGCCUCCUCAGCGAGGUGAUGUUCUCAAGAAACGAGAUGGUUAAACGUAUUGGACCUUUGUGGGGCUUCUCUACAACGUACAGGCAGUGUUACGCUGUAAUGACGGUGACGACGAUUCCGGUGGGCAGUCGACAUUCUCGGAAAGAUUGGUUUCUUUGACAUUUGUGGUGAGCUUCGAAUAUUCGCAAACGUUUACCCAAUAAAAUUUUCAUGAUAAAAAAGUGUCCACACUGGUGGUUGUCGGCCUGUGGAACUCAAUAAGAAUAUUUCUUCACAGGAGAUUGGCGCAAGCCAGGGAAGCCCUCAGUGCUGACGCUUGAGCCCUCCUCGUGACGUUGAGAACCUCGAGGCCAAGUGGGUUCCUAUGACUCCAUCCUGUCGUUCGAGAUGCAUGCCAUGUCUGGCAUCGAGUUGCAUGCCGGAAGACUGUUGGGUCACUCUACAACGUGCGGAAAGCUGGAAUGCAGCGCCGACGUCACUCGCACGAGUCCGCCUAAUGACGUUCCCGUUUUUCGAGGAGUCCGAAGGGAUGUUCUCCUUGCUGCUCCGCUUCCAAAUGAAGCUUGAGCCCGCCUCGUGACGUUUGAGAGGACCUCGAGAGGGCGUGGGUUCCGACGGCUGUAUCCUGUCGUUCGAGACGCAUGCCACGUCCCCGAAUUCCUCGCUGCCAAGGG